rnacentral:rRNA from 1 species
GGCCUACGGGGGGCAGCAGUAGGGAAUCUUCCACAAUGGGCGAAAGCCUGAUGGAGCAACGCCGCGUGGGUGAAGAAGGUCUUCGGAUCGUAAAACCCUGUUGUUAGAGAAGAAAGUGCGUGAGAGUAACUGUUCACGUUUCGACGGUAUCUAACCAGAAAGCCACGGCUAACUACGUGCCAGCAGCCGCGGUAAUACGUAGGUGGCAAGCGUUAUCCGGAUUUAUUGGGCGUAAAGGGAAGGCAGGCGGUCUUUUAAGUUUGAUGUGAAAGCUUUUGGAUUAACUGGAGUAGUGUAU